rnacentral:rRNA from 1 species
UACGUAGGGGGCAAGCGUUAUCCGGAUUCACUGGGCGUAAAGGGGGCGCAGGCGGCACGGCAAGUCCGGUGUGAAAGCCCGGGGCCCAACCCCGGGACUGCACCAGAAACUGUGCAGCUAGAGUGCAGGAGAGGUAAGUGGAAUUCCUAGUGUAGCGGUGAAAUGCGUAGAUAUUAGGAAGAACACCGGUGGCGAAGGCGAGUUGCUGGACUGUAACUGACACUGAGGCACGAAAGCGUGGGGAGCAA